CAGGAUGAACGCUAGCGGCAGGCUUAACACAUGCAAGUCGAGGGGCAGCGGGGAGGAAGCUUGCUUUCUCCGCCGGCGACCGGCGCACGGGUGAGUAACACGUAUGCAACCUGCCCCUGUCAGGGGGACAACCCGCCGAAAGGCGGGCUAAACCCGCGUACAUGCCACCGGGGCAUCCCGGAGGCAGGAAAGGCUUCGGCCGGACAGGGAUGGGCAUGCGGCGCAUUAGGCAGUAGGCGGGGUAACGGCCCACCUAACCGACGAUGCGUAGGGGUUCUGAGAGGAAGGUCCCCCACACUGGUACUGAGACACGGACCAGACUCCUACGGGAGGCAGCAGUGAGGAAUAUUGGUCAAUGGUCGGGAGACUGAACCAGCCAAGCCGCGUGAGGGAGGAAGGUACAGAGUAUCGUAAACCUCUUUUGUCAGGGAACAAAGGCGGGGACGUGUCCCCGGAUGAGUGUACCUGAAGAAAAAGCAUCGGCUAACUCCGUGCCAGCAGCCGCGGUAAUACGGAGGAUGCGAGCGUUAUCCGGAUUUAUUGGGUUUAAAGGGUGCGCAGGCGGUCUGUUAAGUCAGCGGUCAAAGCCCGGGGCUCAACCCCGGCCCGCCGUUGAAACUGGCAGUCUCGAGUUGGAGAGAAGUAUGCGGAAUGCGCGGUGUAGCGGUGAAAUGCAUAGAUAUCGCGCAGAACUCCGAUUGCGAAGGCAGCAUGCCGGCUCCACACUGACGCUGAGGCACGAAAGCGUGGGUAUCGAACAGGAUUAGAUACCCUGGUAGUCCACGCAGUAAACGAUGAAUGCUGGCUGUCCGGGGGGAUUGACCCCUGGGUGGCGAAGCGAAAGCGAUAAGCAUUCCACCUGGGGAGUACGCCGGCAACGGUGAAACUCAAAGGAAUUGACGGGGGCCCGCACAAGCGGAGGAACAUGUGGUUUAAUUCGAUGAUACGCGAGGAACCUUACCCGGGCUCAAACGGGGAGUGACUCAGGCAGAGACGCCUGUUUCCCACGGGACACUCCCCGAGGUGCUGCAUGGUUGUCGUCAGCUCGUGCCGUGAGGUGUCGGCUUAAGUGCCAUAACGAGCGCAACCCCCGCGUGCAGUUGCUAACAGAUAACGCUGAGGACUCUGCACGGACUGCCGGCGCAAGCCGCGAGGAAGGCGGGGAUGACGUCAAAUCAGCACGGCCCUUACGUCCGGGGCGACACACGUGUUACAAUGGGUGGUACAGCGGGAAGCCAGGCGGCGACGCCGAGCGGAACCCGAAAUCCACUCUCAGUUCGGAUCGGAGUCUGCAACCCGACUCCGUGAAGCUGGAUUCGCUAGUAAUCGCGCAUCAGCCAUGGCGCGGUG
rnacentral:rRNA from 1 species